rnacentral:lncRNA from 1 species
AUAAAAAAAUAGCACAAAAAAUUAAAGGCAAGAAGAGAAAGAAUCUCACUUGCAUAGGAUCUGCAUGAACGGAGGAUUGACUGGUAGCAGGGGCAAAGGCACUUGAUUUGGAUGAGGCCUCAGACUCUUUAUUUGUCUGACUACUUAAUGCAGAAAUCUCUAAGACUAAUGAGCCUUUCUUCACACGUUUUGCACCAGCAGUUGUUGAAACCUACAAUUUACAUAAUUAAAUUGCCCACCAGUGCCAACCCUAGUAAAUUAACAGUUAGAAUAUUGGUAUAGACAUAUUCUCCUCGUCGACGGGUAUUGAGAUGAAGAUGUAUGAGGGUUAAGAGUCCCCAGCAAACCUAUUAGUAAUCUUGACUAUAAAAUAGAUAUUAAGAACUUCGGCCCACGUUGAC